CACACACACAGGUUCACACAGCUGUCCUUUUAAGGACAUACCACUAACCACUAUAUCACUAACCCUAAACUUCACCAGUUCCUCCGAAACCAGGUUCUACUGGUCCUGACAAGCCACAGCAGUUUCACAGGAAUUGAGCUGUAGAUGCGGCACCAUGCAGAGAUCAGUGCAGUGGCUCAUCGAGAGUUUUGCUCCAAAUCCUGGAACUUUGACAGAGACGGUGACCGUACGACACUGACAGUGACAUGUGCAACCGCUGAAUGGCCUGAGCCCUGUGGACACACUGACCUUUUCACGAGUGAGUGGAAAAGAGAAAUGAGGACAACGGCACAGCAAUUCCGACCGUCGCCUGUGAACGGUGCCGUGGCUGAACGUGCGUGGCAGACGUGACGAUAACGUCUCCCGGGGAGUUCCGUCCCCACGAGCGGAACACACUGACAGACCGCAGACGUGAGCCAACAACACAAAAACAGCUUAAAUGUAGCGGAAUCGUGGAGUUGUCGAGUUAGUGCCGUGCAGCGCCCGAGGGGAUUCUGGAAGUCCAGCUCCCACUUACCCAAUGUGAAACUUUUCAAAUCCAACUCAGUGUAAGAGUUUCACAAAAUGACCAACUUAGUGCAUGAUUGACUCUCCUGCAGUGGUGUCAUUUAACACAGUCAUGGCUUCAGCACUUCUGAAACUGAAACCCUCUCCUGAAUAUGGAUUCAUGUAUUAAAGGGAGAGUGCAGGUAUUCAGGAGGCAGAGAUCGCCCAGUUUCCCUAUGAGCUCUGGUGUGAGGAGUGUUAUAGCGGUGAGAUAAAGUGAGUAAAUGUAUUCCUAUAAAACAUUUAAGCUCUCAUGGAUUGUGUUACACACUAUGUUUUAAAGUAACACAAAUUAGGAUUUGCUCUCUGGUUCCCCCACAGCUGGUUAACGAUGAGGCAGUGGGGAACCUUCAGGGCCUUCUAUGCCUUCAGAGAAGGCCCAACCUCAAUUCUGGACCAAAAAAUAUGAGUGGUCUAACUGCAGACCACAGACACUACACGCCGAGAGAGGUUGAGAGAGCGAUGUUGUGGCUAGCUUGAUAGCAUCGCCUUUGUCACAGAAAAACUACAAGUAAUAAAAAAUGGAAGUCCAACUCCAGAACUGGAAUAAAAAAAAAAGAUUAUGAAAGUGGAAAGGCAUUUCAAGACUGAAAAUUCUUAUUAGUUGGAGACCGGAAGCUGCACAGUAGUUUUCACUGUGCAGCUUCCGGCUGCACUUUGACUUCCCCAGGCUCAAGAUUGAACUGACAGUCAUGUACAGACUUUGGCAAACUUUGAGGCACGGAGCCCAUUCGACCUGCUGCACUUUCUGACACUUAAUGAGCUGACUGAGAGCAUGCCCUGAGAGACUGAGAGUAUCCCCUCCCCACCUCCCCCGUGGAGCGGUCUUACUCGGCUCUGAAGCCAGAAACAGUACUGGACAGGAUCGCCUGGGAGCUUUGGUACUGAUGUCCACAGAGAAAGGACUUGUUUUGGAGCUCAAGUCAAAGGACAAACUUUACGGCGCUGCCAUCGCCCAAUUCACAAGGAAACACCGACGAAUGGAUUUUGUUUUCAUGUAAGGUAGGCCUAUGUUGUAAGCCCCCUCAAGGGCGUCACUUUGUUUAUAAAAGUGCCAGGGGCAAUAACCACAGCUUAACAGUGGUUUGAAAAGUGCUGGGUACUUCAUCCGUUUGACGUUUCAUUACAAUAUGCACUGUAUUACAGUGCAUAUUGAGUGGCUCUGACACUUCUAUUAGGGAAAAGGAAAAAUAACAUAUACACAUACAAAAAACUCAGAAUGUG